GUAGGGAGCAAGCGUUGUCCGGAAUCCUUGGGCGUAAAGCGCGCGUAGGUGGCCAUUUAAGUCCGCUGUGAAAGUCAAAGGCUCAACCUUUGAAAGCCGGUGGAUACUGGGUGGCUAGAGUACGGAAGAGGCGAGUGGAAUUCCUGGUGUAGCGGUGGAAUGCGCAGAUAUCAGGAGGAACACCAAUAGCGAAGGCAGCUCGCUGGGACGUUACUGACACUGAGGCGCGAAAGCGUGGGGAGCGAACAGG
rnacentral:rRNA from 1 species